UAUUAUCUUCAGGGAUAGGUGAGAAUCCUUACCGGCGGUAGGCAAUUAAAUUGCGAGCCCGCGAGCCUUAUGGCAGAUCCGGUCAAAAUCCGGAGCCGACAGUGUAUUGUGUUUGUAUUUUAUAAACACAAUGAGUCUGGAUGGGAGAAGAUAAUU
rnacentral:ncRNA from 2 species